GUUUCGUCCGCUCCUCCUCCCCGUACUCCCGAUGGCGGCGGCGUCUCCGGCGAGCGGCGCGCACCUCUACUCGUGCGAGACGGCGGCGCAGACCCGCGAGUGGAUGGACGCCAUCGCCUCCUUCCUCGGCCGCCACCGCCCGCUCCUCGAGGCGCACGUCGUCAACUUCUUCAAGGAUAGGCUGUGGGAGAUGGUGGACGCCGAGUGGAUGGAGUGCCUCCGCGGGGAGCCAGUUGAGAGCCUGCUCAAACUGCCAUCCGGUUGCGUCCAGGACCACUGGCCAAGUUCACUACAGGAAUUUAUACUCACUGCGAGGUCACUUGCUCUUUCGCGUGAUCAGAAGUCGCCACAAUCGUUUCUACCUAAUUUACGCGUAGCAUCAAUUGGUACUGUCCUUGCUCAAGGCAUGAACACAAAGAAGAAGCAUGAAAUUGAAACUUUAGGUGCCAUUGUUGAUGCAAUUGCUAGGAGCUGUGGUGCCAAGACAGUGGUUGAUGUAGGUUCUGGUCAGGGUUAUCUUGCACAAGCUUUAUCUUUUGAGUAUCAACUCCCUGUUGUCGCAAUAGAUGCUUCAUCACAUCAUGCAUCUGUUACAAAUACUCGUGCAGAGAGGAUAAAGAAGCACUAUGCUGCUAAAUGUGUGGAGAAGCAACAGUUUAGAGUGCCUAGAACUGUCACUUGUCAUGUUCUUUCCAGUGCCACAUUGGCAGCUGUUACGCUGGACGCAUGCCAGGAUGUUCAUGGUGAACAUGUAACAGAAACUUACUGUACUGGAAUUAGCCCUCAAAUUGAGAACCCAAACCACAGCAUUCCUCAAUUAGUCCUUGCUGGUCUUCAUGCCUGUGGUGAUCUUUCAGUUAACAUGCUAAGGGUUUUUGUGUCCUGUGAACAAGUACAGGCAUUGGUCAGCGUCGGCUGCUGUUACAACUUGUUGUCCGAGGAUUGUCAUGAGGAUAGAGACACCUGUCCUGGUUUUCCUAUUAGCAACGCUGCUAAAUCAUCUAAAUUAGUGCUUGGGAAAAGCAUCCGUGACCUUGCUUGCCAGAGUGCAGAGAGGUGGAGGAAUCUUACCAAGGAAAUGGCCCUAGAAAAUUUUGAUGUGCAUGCUUUCCGAGCGGCUUUUCAAAUGGUACUUGAGAAAUACUUCCCAGAAGUGUCAAGAUUGAGUCCAUCAAUUGGAAGGCAAGGAAAAGCUCUGCGCCGCCAAAGGCUUCGGAAAGUUAUGGAAUCCCAUAUGGCUAUGGGAAAAAACGAUGAUUUACCCUAUUCUAAUUCCAAGGAACAAAAUAUGACCAUGGAUAGUUCAUUGCCCACAGAACCAACUGAUCUUGAAGGCGCUGUCGGAUGUUGUAGCCACCAACUUUGUACAGGUGAUACUUACUCAACUUCAGAAGUCGUCGAUUCAUCCAUAUCCAGAGUUAACGUGGGACCAACUGGCAUUUAUCUUGAUGAAUGCGACAAGUUCACUCUUUUCAAAGAUUUCACAGUCUCUGGAUUAGCUCGUCUUGACUGUGGUUUUGUGGAAGAUGUUCAUCUACUCGAAAUAUGGAAGGCCGUGCAACGCUUCGCCGAGUUCAUAGGCCCCUUUUGGUGCCUUCGGGCUGCUUUAGGUCCACUGGUGGAAACAUAUAUUUUACUUGAUCGGUUACUGUUUCUUCAAGAACAAGGCGGUGCAGUUGAAGCAUUGUUGUUUCCUCUGUUUGAUCCCACUAUGUCUCCAAGGAAUAUGGCAGUAGUUGCUUGGAAGUUAAUGGGGGAUUCUUUAAAAGCAUGACACAGGAACGCUUCUCCUGCCCGAAUACUUAGGUUUAUGGAAUGGUGUGUUGGUGCUGAAAAGUAAGAGGGUCUUUUCCUGUGGUGAAACUAGUUCUUUCUCUAGAUCCAGAGGCAAUCAUGAUCCGUAUGGGCUAGUCAAUGGCCAUGGGAAGAAGCUAUAGCUUCUGUGUAGUGAGUUAUUGGAGGACAUGUAGCUGUUUUUUUGUCCACCAACUGACAUGUGGCCUGCUGCAGCAUGCAGAUACGUAGGCCGAAUGACUAAUCAUUUUGGUGAGAGACAAAUAAGCAUUAUGCGCUGUAAGUUGCCUAACCACACUGAUCAUAUGUCGACCAAGUUACGUGUCGUGUCAUAAAGUAUCAAAUCCUGUUGGAUCCUUGAUGUGAUGCUACCAACAUGGAGGCGAUGAAGACUAGUGCAAGAGGUUGACUUGCGUUUAUUAAGCACGUGCUUCCACAUGAUCCAGUCAGUAUGUUUGUGGUUUCAGGUUUGUCGUUGCUUAUCCAUACGUGUCCGUGUAUGCGUGUGUCUGGCAUGUGUGCAUUUUCAGUCCUUUCAGUGAAUUGACUUUACUGUUCUUUCUUUGUCUGUGUUCUUUAAUGUCCUUUUUAUGUUCUUGAAUUCUUUGUACUGCACCCUGGAAUGUAUAGGUUUCAAAACUCUUCUGCCGCAAGAUUAACAACUCCAAAAGAUUUGGCUUGGUUAAUUGUUACCCCCCUUGGAAAAAAAGAUCUUGCUUACUAUUUUGUAUGUCAUGUUGACCAGUCCUUUUAUCAUAGUAAUUUGGGACCAAUCAUAGGGUGAUAGUUCAGAGAAAGUGAUGCAAAGAGCAGGAUUCAAAAUAAUCUGGUAGAUGGAUAACAUCUUUGUGGAACCUUAAGCAGUCGUGUCGUGGUAGCUCAAUAGGAACAAGCAGUCGUGUCAUUCUAUGGAUGAGAAUUUACAUUGGAACUCGACUGAACCUUGCGCUGGCCUGCCGUGAAGUCGAGUUACAGUUGAUUAGUUUGGCUGCAUUACAACUGCAAUAAUUGGCUGAUUUUACUUCCAUGUGGCAUAUUCAAGCUUCCCCUUACCAGAAUUUGUUCGCCCAUGAACGUGAGAACGACGGUGCAUGUACUUCCGAGCAAAGCAUCGGCAUCGACAAAGCCACUGAGAGCCGUCGCGAGUCUUCCGUCCCCAAAUCCUUAUCCAGAUUUGUACACCCGGAGGUACCCAGCAAGGCCACAGGUCAAUUCCCUCCACUUUUCACCGAUGCAGCCAUCAUCCGAAAGGUAAUGACAGACACAUCACUUGGACGAUCUGACCUGGGAGCUCACCACGCCCUCUUUGUUCUGCUGUCCGUGUUGUUCUAAUUCCAGCCGGCCAGUGAGCCACGGUGAGAUCUUGGACAUCACGGUAACGUGGACUGCUCAGCGAAAGGCGUCGCGCACCUGUCGCGACCUGAUUGAUCGAUCGGUUUAUUAUGGUAAGCUUAAAAAGUGAUUGGGGUUAGAGCCGGGUGCAUCCCAGCAGCAGCAGGCGUGCGAUGUUAGGCCGUGCGGCCGUGUGCACGUCGGAGGAGAGAGAGGUAUGUGGUUGAUGAGCUUUGCUGCCGUUGCUGUUACUGCCGUUGCUGUCAUUGCCCAUCUCCGGGUCUCUUUCGCUUGGUAGAGCAGAGCAUAGAUGCCUCCAUUACUACCAGGACAGCUGCUAAGCCAAGCAGGAGCUUAAUUGUUGGCAUUUUCCUUUCUCGUGAUUUGGAUUCGUGGGAUAUUAACGUUUCUCCAUUUGUGUGCUUGACUUUUCUCCCAAGGCAGGCAACCAAGAGCUUUCUGCUGGAACCAUGUCACAGGCUUCACUAAUUGGUCCGUUGCCUUUAGAUGCUCUGAUCAUCAUACAACAAGAUCUUAUAAGAGGAAUCUGUUACUGCUAGGAAGGGAAAUACACAUUUUCCGGUGCGUCGACCACGUCGCGAUCGGUGUAUCUACGCGGUCCGUUUCCGGCACUGGACGGACCUGAUUGCUUUGGCACUAUGUGAGGAAAAUUCUGGCAGGGAAAGGAGGGUGUGGGAAGGGAGGCCGGUCAUGAGGUUUGUGUGUGUGUGAUAGAUAUAUGUUGGUGCGGCGCCGCGUGCAUGCUCCCUGGCUGCGCGUAACCGAAUGUGUCCCAAUGGGCAAUUCUUCCUCUUCUCUAAUAUCUCCGCCUACGUUCAUUGCUAUCACCAGCAUACCAGCUGCAUUUAAAUCUGAUUUACGUGACAUUGCGUAAUCGCAGGGUCUUUAAAAUCCGUUUGUCUGAACCGGCCCUCUGUCGUGUCGCCGCGGCGAUCCCAAAGAUGGUGAGGCGCGAAGGUUCUUCAUCCCCUGCCUUGCGUGAUUUCAUUUCAACGAAUUUAGAGUCUUCUUUUAACUUGGCCUACCACGUCCCCGGCCCCCUGGUCAAGUGUCGAAGCCGGAGUUUUAAUUACUUAAUCUAUGCAGGCAGUGUGCCGAAGAUGUGGACCAAACAGCUAAGCUGAUUUUAACUAGCUUCAACACAGAAGGUUUUCGUUUGACAUUGCGAUGGACAUAAUAUAAAAUAUAGCUGUAGCCUGUAGGGAGAACGUGCAGUCUCCCCAACUUUAAUUUGAUUUCUUGCUAUCCUGCUUGAUUUUCCACAAAUAUGUACUGGUAUCAAAAGAAUAAAAUGUAACACCAUAGCUUUGAAAAUAAACGCAAACACAAAUUGGUUGA